UUUAAAAUAUUGAAAUCAAGCCUUAAAGAAAAAAGCUGAGCCAGGCACGGUGCGUACCUGUAGUCCCAGCUACUCAGCGCUAAGUUUAGCAUCAAUAUGGUGACCUCCCAGGCCCGGGGUACCACCAGGUUGCCUAAGGAAGGGUGAACCUGCCCAGGUUGGAAACAGAGCAGGUCAAAACUCCUGUGCUGAUCAGUAGUGGGAUGGCACCUGUGAAUAACCCCUGCACUCCAGCCUGGGCAACAUAGCAA
rnacentral:sRNA from 1 species